ensembl:snRNA Gm24150 predicted gene, 24150
UUGUUCACUUCAGCAGCACAUCUACUAAAAUUGAAAUGAUACAGAGAUUAGCAUGACCACUGUGCAAGGAUGACAAGCAAAUUUGUGAAGCAUUCCACAUUUUG